GCCUGAAAGUUUGACUGGGACUUCCGUUAGGCUUCUGAAACCGACUCCUUACCCAGGCAACAAACUCCAGCAGCAUGCUAAUGAAUACUCCAUAUGAUAAACUUUGGAAGUCACCCACAGACAUUUAAAACAAAACAAAAAAAACUUCUCCUUCUUGGGCCAGAGUCUCCGUGACUAUCUCAGAGGCUCUGAGAAGUUUCAGGUGAGUGGUAUUUUAAGAACAGAGAGGAAGAAGCUGCAUGUGGAAUGCCAGCUUCGAAGUUCUCACUUCACUUUCCUACGUCUUUGGAGGAAGCCUUGGGGUGGCACAGGGACAAGCAGUAGCAAGAACCGAGACAGGAGGUUGGCAAAGAUGCAAAAGACUCUUAAGGAGACCUUUAAUUCCUAAACAAUAAGUGACCAUGAGGUUAUGGAUGGGAUUUGAACUGGAAAGAAAUGAACACUAACUCCAGCUUGUCAAAGGUGAAGCUCACCCAGAGGGAUGACGUGCCUGAGGUCUCGACGAUAUUGCUUAGACUCCGUUGAGGAAGAAAGACAUAAAAGGCUUCUGUGACAACUGCUACCCCCCACCCCAACCUACCCCAACAAAAAGUAACAGCCUAGACAGAAAGCCAUCAAAGAUAACUCUUAAAAUUUUCGAUAAGGAUGCUGAAGUGUAGCUCUGCACAAAUGAUGGCUUCUGGAAGUGGUCCAGGUGAGGAAGAACUCAGUUUUCCUUAAGGGGCUGGCCACCAGGAAUCUGACCAUGCUCCAAAAAAAAAGAAAGAAGACAGGGAAAGCCUGCUUUUAUAAACUUGUGUGUACUGAUCGUAUAGUUGUCCCCCAAAGAGGAUGUCAUUAUUCUGGAAAUGUCAGGUCCACGAAAUUCAGCCAUCCGAAGAAUGUUGUUAGAUCUUUGCACAGAGCGUCAGCCCCUUCACUCUGAGUUCACUGUUUCCCACUUGAAGUGGUCACUGUUGACUGCCUUUUACAGACUUACGUAUAUUCCUGUUCCAACAAAAUGACAUACACUGGUAAUGUUGCUUAAAUUAGUAAUAACCCACAACUUACACAGCUCAGUGUUGGAACUGUAUCUCAUUAAAGAUAACACAUCCUGUUGAACAUGUAUUAUACAAAAAUAAUAGAUAAUAAUAAUAUCUGCUUGAAAGUAUCUCAAUUAGGACUUAGUUAAAAGUGCUUAGCAGCAGAACUAUAUCCAACAGCUUUAGUAAUUAAUUAUACCUAGAUGUAUCAAUCUUAUAUUAUUUCAAUUCACAAUGAAUACAUGAGUUAAUUUUUAUAACUUUCCAAAGUCUAUAGGCAAUAAACAAAUUACCAAACUGUC